AAUAUCUCACCACAAGCAAUCUUGUUUGUUUUGUGAGUGGAUGAUGAAGGUUGCUGGCUCUUGUUGUCAGCUCCUUUUAAAUUCAUGAGCAGGUCUUUGUGGACUUAGCUUUAGUUUGAUAAUUUUCUUUAUCUGAACUAUGCUGAGGAACUUUGGAUCAGCUUUCAAACUGUCCUUUUGAAGGACUGUCUUUUUAUAGACAAUUAAA
rnacentral:rRNA from 1 species